rnacentral:rRNA from 1 species
UACGGAGGGGGCUAGCGUUAUUCGGAAUUACUGGGCGUAAAGCGUACGUAGGCGGCUUUGUAAGUAAGAGGUGAAAGCCCGGAGCUCAACUCCGGAACUGCCUUUUAGACUGCAUCGCUUGAAUCCAGGAGAGGUGAGUGGAAUUCCGAGUGUAGAGGUGAAAUUCGUAGAUAUUCGGAAGAACACCAGUGGCGAAGGCGGCUCACUGGACUGGUAUUGACGCUGAGGUACGAAAGCGUGGGGAGCAAACAGG